rnacentral:rRNA from 1 species
AUGAACGCUGGCGGCGUGCCUAAUACAUGCAAGUCGAGCGAACAGAUGAGGAGCUUGCUCCUCUGACGUUAGCGGCGGACGGGUGAGUAGCACGUGGAUAACCUACCUAUAAGACUGGGAUAACUUCGGGAAACCGGAGCUAAUACCGGAUAAUAUAUUGAACCGCAUGGUUCAAUAGUGAAAGACGGUUUUGCUGUCACUUAUAGAUGGAUCCGCGCCGCAUUAGCUAGUUGGUAAGGUAACGGCUUACCAAGGCGACGAUGCGUAGCCGACCUGAGAGGGUGAUCGGCCACACUGGAACUGAGACACGGUCCAGACUCCUACGGGAGGCAGCAGUAGGGAAUCUUCCGCAAUGGGCGAAAGCCUGACGGAGCAACGCCGCGUGAGUGAUGAAGGUCUUCGGAUCGUAAAACCCUGUUAUUAGGGAAGAACAAAUGUGUAAGUAACUAUGCACGUCUUGACGGUACCUAAUCAGAAAGCCACGGCUAACUACGUG